UAUAAUAUUGUAUUAUUGUACACUUGUCCAGUAGACAGUCACUUCACACUCCAAUCAGUCCACUCAGUCCAAUCUUGUCUGGCGACUAACUUAAUGUUUUAAUGUACCUAUAUAUAUAAUAUGGUUUACCUAAACCUAUUACAGUAUUAGGUACCUAGUCUUCUUCUUGCAUUAACUUAAUUUUGAAGUUAUUACUCAAAUCGUUUCUUAAUGUUUAAGUGGUUCAACUAUAUUUAUAGUGCUAGAAUUAUGUAGGCGCAUCACUAUAUUGGACCAAUUUUGAUGUGUGCGCCUACCAAAAAUAUCGGAAACCAAUUCGAAUAUAUGUUGCUUGGAAUGUUGGUUAAACAAUUCGGAUGCAGUUGUUCUUUUGUGGGAGCCAUAAAAAUAUUGUGAAGACACAAAGGAGCCUUUGUUGAGCCGUGGGAUGAAAAAGUUUGAAUAUCUUUAAUUUAGUCAUCUAGUAUUUACUUAAUUUUGAUCAUUAAAAAUGCUUUAACAUUAUAGGUAACCUUUUGGUAAUCCUUUAUUUUACAGAAUAAAAUGUUAAUAGAGAAAGAUAAUAAAAAAUAUUUAAAUUUUUUUCAAAAGUGUACAAAUUUUUAAGAAUUAGAAUAAUUAAAAAAUGUAGUUCUGCAGUAAAUGAUAAAUUGUUGAUUUUUACAAUAUAUUAACAAUGCAAUAAUUUAUAACACAUACUUUGUGAAUUUUAAGUCUCAGUAGUUAAUUAAUUUGAAUCUUAAAACUGAUUUUUGUGCUUUAUAUGUCGUUUUUGGGAUUUAGAUUUAAAUAAAAAAAAUAUAUAAACAAAUAGAUAGGUGCCCACAUUUUUUUUAUUACCAAAAAUACAAUGGAAUGAAAAAUAACAAAUAAUACAUACAUAUUAAGUAGGAUGAACAUUCCCUACAUAAUAAAACAUAAAAUACUUUAGUACAUUCAUUAAAUAACUAAUAAAAAAACCAAAAAA